rnacentral:rRNA from 1 species
UACAGAGGUCCCAAGCGUUGUUCGGAUUCACUGGGCGUAAAGGGUGCGUAGGUGGUUGGGCAAGUCUGAUGUGAAAUCUCCGGGCUUAACCCGGAAAUGGCAUUGGAAACUGCCUGGCUAGAGUGUUGGAGGGGGGACUGGAAUUCUCGGUGUAGCAGUGAAAUGCGUAGAUAUCGAGAGGAACACCAGUGGCGAAGGCGAGUCCCUGGACAACGAC